UGCUAUUUAUUGAAAAAAAAAAUCAAAGCUGACAUUUGUUAUGACACCCUUUUUAACAACCUUGUUUUCAGCUUAUUUACCUGAACCAACAAAACUGUCACCUGGGUGCUGCUGUCUGUACAUGCCGGCAUCCUUGCUUGUACGACAUCUUUUUCUUUCCAUCUAAAACUUCGAGCCGUACGGGUGCGCCGCUGGGAAAACGAUCUUCACUUUACCAACGCUGUUUUCCAAUAACUUUUACUAAUGGAAGUUCAGUGUUCCGACCAAUAUGGAAGCACACAACAUUUUGUGUACUUCCGCAGCGUUAAUAUCACACAAAGCAUAUUUGUUCUGAUAAGGAAGCAGUUUUAAUUGAAUGACAACCCAACCCGCAUCGACGGGUUUGCAGUAAAGAGAAGAAAUCGACGACAUGCAGCUAUUUAGAAGAUACUUUUAAACGGAACGCGCAUCUCUCAUGAUUUAGCAUUUGGCAAUAAAAUUAGCGCAAAUGUUUACCUUUUAA